rnacentral:rRNA from 1 species
ACCGUGAGGGAAAGGCGAAAAGAACCCCGGCGAGGGGAGUGAAAAAGAACCUGAAACCGUGUACGUACAAGCAGUGGGAGCACGCUUAGGCGUGUGACUGCGUACCUUUUGUAUAAUGGGUCAGCGACUUAUAUUCUGUAGCAAGGUUAACCGAAUAGGGGAGCCGAAGGGAAACCGAGUCUUAACUGGGCGUUAAGUUGCAGGGUAUAGACCCGAAACCCGGUGAUCUAGCCAUGGGCAGGUUGAAGGUUGGGUAACACUAACUGGAGGACCGAACCGACUAAUGUUGAAAAAUUAGCGGAUGACUUGUGGCUGGGGGUGAAAGGCCAAUCAAACCGGGAGAUAGCUGGUUCUCCCCGAAAGCUAUUUAGGUAGCGCCUCGUGAAUUCAUCUCCGGGGGUAGAGCACUGUUUCGGCAAGGGGGUCAUCCCGACUUACCAACCCGAUGCAAACUGCGAAUACCGGAGAAUGUUAUCACGGGAGACACACGGCGGGUGCUAACGUCCGUCGUGAAGAGGGAAACAACCCAGACCGCCAGCUAAGGUCCCAAAGUCAUGGUUAAGUGGGAAACGAUGUGGGAAGGCCCAGACAGCCAGGAUGUUGGCUUAGAAGCAGCCAUCAUUUAAAGAAAGCGUAAUAGCUCACUGGUCGAGUCGGCCUGCGCGGAAGAUGUAACGGGGCUAAACCAUGCACCGAAGCUGCGGCAGCGACGCUGAUGCGUUGUUGGGUAGGGGAGCGUUCUGUAAGCCUGCGAAGGUGUGCUGUGAGGCAUGCUGGAGGUAUCAGA